GUGCCAGCCGCCGCGGUAAUACGUAGGGGGCGAGCGUUGUCCGGAUUUACUGGGCGUAAAGAGCGCGUAGGCGGCUCGUUAAGUUGGCUGUAAAAGGCUCUGGCUUAACCAGGGUAAGUCGGCCGAAACUGGCGGGCUCGAGGACGGUAGAGGAAGGUGGAAUUCCUGGUGUAGUGGUGAAAUGCGUAGAGAUCAGGAGGAACACCGGUGGCGAAGGCGGCCUUCUGGGCCGUUCCUGACGCUGAGGCGCGAAAGCGUGGGGAGCGAACUGAAUUAGAUACUCAGGUAGUCCACGCUGUAAACAAUGGACGCUAGGUGUGGGGGGUAUCGACCCCUCCCGUGCCGAAGCUAACGCAUUAAGCGUCCCGCCUGGGGAGUACGGCCGCAAGGCUAAA
rnacentral:rRNA from 1 species